AAACAACGAAGCACCUUCUUUGCCCCUGUACCAGGUGCUGACUGGUGAGAAAGGAAGCUUCGCUAAGAAUAAAAAAGCAAUAAUGGCUCCGGGCAACAAUCACCCAUGGACAUUGAAGCCAUCAGGGGAAGAGCGGGCGAGUGAGACUCCGAAAGGUUCACUACGAAGGGUGGAGUUUUCCCUCUGCUCCUGACAAAGGGGGACAAAUCAGAGGAAAAUGGGUAAGUGUAGUGCAAAAAUCCAUCAUCCCAACAGUGUGGUAUGUUGGCUGGGCCCAGCAGACUGGGCCUGUUGGAGGGCUGAUAUGACACAUUUCCCCAGAGAUCAUCAGUCUGUGAGACAUUUGCAUAGCCCAGCGGGAUUGAUGGGUACAAGAUACUUCUUUGAAGUCUCACUCUGUCCUGUUUAGUCAAAAGCUAUUUCUUCGCUAGCUAUGUUUCCCCUGCAUGUGUGCCAUUUCAAUUAAUUUUUUUGCUCUCUGAUUGUUUAUUUUAAAACCUGGCUUUCUGGUUCUCCCUUAUCUUCUGUCAUUCUUUCUGAUGCUGAGACUCAGUAUAAAACUCAGUUAAACAUAAGUUGUCAAGAUAAAACAUGGGAGAUCUGAAGUCCCAAAUCUAGCUCACCUAUCACUGGUGAAAAGACAUCAUUUUGAUCAGAUUAUUUUCUCUCAUUCUUAGAGACAUUGUGUGUUGGAACUCUUUACAAGACUUUGUACUUCAGUUCCAUGCUAAUACAGAGAGAGAGAGAGAGAGAGAGAGAGA